rnacentral:pre_miRNA from 1 species
ACAACAUUCGGACUAUCGAUCUACCGAGCAAUAACACCCGCUCGGUGUCUUCCCUAUGUCGU